rnacentral:rRNA from 1 species
UACGCAGGGGGCUAGCGUUGUUCGGAUUUACUGGGCGUAAAGCGCACGUAGGCGGCUUGUUAAGUCGGGGGUGAAAUCCUGGAGCUCAACUCCAGAAUUGUCUUCGAUACUGGCUUUCUAGAGGCUGGAAGAGGUUAGUGGAAUUCCCAGUGUAGAGGUGAAAUUCGUAGAUAUUGGGAAGAACACCAGUGGCGAAGGCGGCUAACUGGUCCAGAUCUGACGCUGAGGUGCGAAAGCGUGGGGAGCAAACAGG